ensembl:lncRNA novel transcript, antisense to MRPS28
GGCUGGUUUUUCACACAGGAAUCCUCCUCGCCACCGCUCCCUCGAAGGCCGCCCCCCGCUCCACCCCCAGCACUGGGCGCCCGCGCCUCCCAACUCAGCCCGCCGCCGAGCAGACGGCGCGCCGCGAGAGGGAGCUUGAGCUCUUGAGAAAGACAUGAAGGCCCUUGCCGCUGUCGGCAUCACUCCUUCCUCCCUAAUCCGGUCAGUUAAUUGCUGAGUGCUCGCUUCCUGAUCUGCGUGAUGGCCUCGGAACCGGGCUGCGUGUAGACCUGGGUGACUAUCAGCUCAGCUCCCAAGUGGAGGGCCUCGGAAGACGCUCUGUGCGGCCUACUAACAAGCACGAGUGUAGCACAGAGGUUUGACUGUGACCAAGUACAAGAAAUCUACCUUUUCUGGGCUGUUUACUCAUCUGCAAUAUGCAACACCUUGCAAGUCUGACAAGAGGCUUAAGGCAUUAAGACUACUGUGACCUGCUCCGUGCAACACAAUUAGAGGGUCAUUGAUAAUCGGAACCUAUCAAGAAGAGGACGCUGAAAGAAUACUGUAUUAUGUUGAAUGAGGAAUUGAAGGGAAGGAAGGCAUUUAGCAGACUGGAAAAAAACAGCAAGAGGACCCUAAACCUGUCUGAAUUUGCAAGGGUUUAAUAUUAAAAAGGUGACGGUACUUAUUUUAUGUGACUAUAUAUUGUAUGCCCCCACCCCCCCAAAAGCAGAAAUAAGACAAACGGGUAGAAGCUUUAGGAUGGCAGAUUCACAGCAGUUUAAUACGAGAAAGAACUUCUAACAGAACUGGUUGGAAAGGGAACAGGUUGUUUUUUUGUGUAUUAAUGGUGGAAAUCACAGGGAAUUUUCAAAAUGGAUGACCUUUGUGGUAAUGGUGGAGUUUGAAUUCAGUAAGGGUUGAAUUAGAUGACUUUCAAGAUCCUUCCAUUUCUAAAAGUUAUGAUUCUGUGACCCAGAAAGCCUAAUAGUUCUCCGACACCAGAAAGCAUGAAAGCUGGAAACCAGAUUAAAAAAAGAGCAGUCAGCCAAACAGUCAGAAGGUAGGUCAGGUGUACAGUAACAAAUUUAAGAUCUGAUUAUCUUUCAGUCUACCUAUCAUCAUUUAACUCUGGUAGACCAUGAAGUACAACACUCUCAGUGACUUACCACAUCCAUAGGUGCUCUGACUUAUUACAGAUAAAGAUAUCCAUUAUGCAUAAUUAGCUUCUUUAUCUGACUCAAAUCUGAAGCUAAAGAUUAUUCUGGACAUGAUUUCCUGGAUAGAUGGCCAGCUAAGUUGUGUUUCAGAUAGGAGGAUCACUUAAUUAACUAGGCAACACAGGUAUUUUAGUAUAUUAAUCACUUCCCUAGGUAGGCAAGUUCUAAAUCACCCUUUUCUCCUAUAUGAGGACACAUGGAGCUACUGUUUUCUGUUCCCGUGUUACUCUUUAAUCUCUGUCAGUGUUGUACUUUUGAACUUCCACUUUGUAACACUGCACUACACUAAACACUAUAUGUAGCAAGCAUUCUAUACGUUUGUAGAAGAUUUUAGUAAAUAUGUACUUUCAAAUGCUAUAUAACACAUCUGCAACUUGUUUUGCAAACUGGGGGUCUGAAGUCUUUGGACAAGUCUGCAUUCCACCACCUGCCAUAUGUGCUCCUUAACCUGGCUUCCAAUCUCAAAGCUGCAUUCACUUAUUUUAAAUCUUGAGGAGCAGGAUAGGUGUUGACAAUGUGUUACUUAGAAUGUUCCAAGUAUUCCCUAAUCUCUGGGUCAUUCCUGUCAAAACAGGAGUGUGACUACACAGUGACCAGGAUGCAAGCUGAUGAUAUUUUUGCUUCUAAUCUGAGAAAAGAAAUUGCUUUUGUGCAGACUGGUAUCUCUAGGGUGACUUUGUUCUAAAUGCUAAUAUCUUAUUCUAAAUAUCAUCAAU